GUGGGUAUAGCUCAGUGGUAGAGUGUGUGCCUCUCAGGCAUGAGGUCCUGGGUUCAAUCCCCAGCACCUCCA